ensembl:lncRNA
CUCCAUCUUCUGAAUGGCAUCGCCAGCAGUUGGGUGUGUCUUUAAGACCGAGCCUGUACUAUUUAGAGGGGGUCCAAUAGAGCCGAUGUAAAAUCUUAAAUUGUAUAAGGCGCACCCUUGCGUCUCUAGAUGCAGUUUUUAUAUUUUUUAAAAUCCUAGCCCACUCUCCCUCCCCCAAUUCCAAAUUUAAAUCUUUCUCCCAUAAUCUCUUGAGAGUGGUCAAGACCAUGAUGAUGUUACUUUGACAUCUACCACCUACCUAAACAUUGUUGCAGACCAAGUACACCUCUUCAUGGCAACGGAAUUCCCUAAAGGCAAUGGCCUUUUUCAGCAGGAUAAUGCGUCCUCCAACACUGCAAAAACUGUUCAGGAAUGGUUUGAAGAACAUGACAAAGAGUUCGAGGUUUUGACGUGACCUCCAAAUUCCUCAGAUCUCAAUCUGAUCGAACAUCUGUAGGAUAUGCUGGACAAACAAGUCCGAACCAUGGAGGCCCCACCUCACAACUUACAGGACUUAAAGGAUCUGCUGCUAAAAUUUUGGUGCCAGACACCACAGCACACCUUCAGAGGUCUUGUGGAGUCCAUGCCUCGAUCAGUCAGAGCUGUUUGGAGGCACAAGGGGGGCCUACACAAUAUUAGGCAGGUGGUUUUAAUGUUAUGGCUGAUCGGUGUAUAGUACACUGAUAAAAAAAAAAAAAUGUGUAUGUGUCCAUUACAUGCCAUACACCUAUUCAUUCAUAAAUCAGAAAUGCUCUCGGAAUGUGUGCUGUGAAGUGAUGAAGUGCUGGGCAGUCGGACAAUGUAAUAUUGAUGUCAUGAUGAAUUCACACUACACUUUUCUGGGAUAUCAUUGUGUCGCAACGUUUUCCAGAAAAAAUAGAACUGAAGCAGCUCAUUUAAUGCCAUACUGAAUCAUUAAAUCUGAAUAAAAUGGUACAAUUUAAUUACAAUUGUUCCCCCUCUCCUUGUCAGUGAUCUUCUUAGACAUUUAAUAAAAUUGCAAUAGUUUUGUAGAAUUGAAGACUGGAUGUGUUUUGUACUGAUAAAAUAUAUUCUCAGGGUUUUAUUUCUUGCCCUGCAGGAUGGACUUUGAUGAUGAAGAUGGAGAAGGGCCGAGCAAAUUUUCAAGGUAUGAUGAUGAUCAAAUGCCAGCUGAUAAAGAACGUUAUGCCAGGUAGGGUGACGUGGCACUGCUAGAAUUCUGUCACUGAGACAGAAGUUGAGCCCAGCCAUCGCUUCUUUCCCGGCAAGAAGUCAUGAAAAUGAGCAAGUGAUCUCAGAGAUCGAUUGCUAAAUAUAUAGAUACAGAAAGAUUGAUAAACAUGUCUAUUUAUUUGGGGUGAUACUUUAAUAUAACUUAGAAAUGAGACAGAAUUCAAACCAAGCAUGCAGGAUACCACCAAGAUCCCACGGGAGGCAGCAAAAAUGAGUAGGUGGUCUUUACUUUCAUGCGGCAAUGUUUGAGUCAGUUAUGACGUUUGUGGGUCAAAG